rnacentral:misc_RNA from 1 species
UAACCCCUCAAGCCUGGCUUGGUGUUGGGGCCUGCGGUCACCGGCAGCCCUUAAAAUCAGUGGCGGCGCCCUCGGGCUCUGAGCGUAGUAAUCCUUCUCGCUACAGGGCCCUGGGUGGGUGCUGGCCAUCAACCCCUCCUUUCUCU